rnacentral:rRNA from 1 species
UAAUACGUAGGGUCCGAGCGUUGUCCGGAGUUACUGGGCGUAAAGCGCGCGCAGGCGGCGGUGUAAGCAUGGCGUGAAAGCCCCAGGCUCAACCUGGGAGGGUCGUCGUGGACUGCACCGCUUGAGGGCGGUAGGGGCUGGUGGAAUGCCUGGUGUAGUGGUGAAAUGCGUAGAGAUCAGGCGGAACACCCGUGGCGAAGGCGGCCAGCUGGGCCGUCCCUGACGCUGAGGCGCGAAGGCGUGGGGAGCGAACGGGAUUAGAUACCCCGGUAGUCCACGCAGUAAACGAUGCCGACUAGGCGUGGGGGGAGUUGACCCCCUCCGUGCCGGAGCCAACGCGGGAAGUCGGCCGCCUGGGGAGUACGGCCGCAAGGCUAAAACUCAAAGGAAUUGACGG